CCUACGGGAGGCAGCAGUGGGGAAUAUUGGACAAUGGGCGAAAGCCUGAUCCAGCAAUUCCGCGUGUGUGAAGAAGGCCUUCGGGUUGUAAAGCACUUUAGUUGGGGAAGAAACAGUUUGGCCACACCAAGCCUUGACGGUACCCAAAGAAUAAGCACCGGCUAACUCUGUGCCAGCAGCCGCGGUAAUACAGAGGGUGCAAGCGUUAAUCGGAUUUACUGGGCGUAAAGGGUGCGUAGGUGGUUUUGUAAGUCGGAUGUGAAAGCCUGGGGCUCAACCUCAGAAUUGCACUCGAUACUGCAAGACUAGAGUUCGGUAGAGGGCGGCGGAAUUCCCGGUGUAGCGGUGAAAUGCGUAGAUAUCGGGAGGAACAUCAAUGGCGAAGGCAGCCGCCUGGGCCUGAACUGACACUGAGGCACGAAAGCGUGGGUAGCAAACAGGAUUAGAUACCCUGGUAGUCCACGCUGUAAACGAUGAGAACUUGACGUUGGUUCGUUUUACGAAUCGGUGUCGCAGCUAACGCGAUAAGUUCUCCGCCUGGGGAGUACGGCCGCAAGGUUGAAACUCAAAGUUAGUUAGUAGCGUUGNGAGNGCGACGACGACGACGACGGAGGAGGAG
rnacentral:rRNA from 1 species